GCUACUAGGAGCCUUGCUGAGGAAGCCGGCAUGCCCAAACCAGCAAGGAGCAGCUGUGGCCACAGAGAGGAAGGAGAGCUGCAGGACUAGCCCAUUGCCCAGGAGGCCUGCUUAGGUCUCUGCAGAGGCCAUGAAAAAUGUGCCAUUCAGCUUUUCUGCUAAUUGUUGAAGGCCCAGCUGCCACCGCUCUGGAUCUACACCCCAUUUGCAAUGAAGCCACACAUCUCGUGAGCCACUCCCAGCCCGUGACUGGGCACAGCAGGGGCCCUAACGCAGGAUAGCUCUGAGGAGGUGUGGGACCCUUGACAGUGGAGGACAUUGGCCCGAGAACUCUUCAUCGACCUGAUCAAACCUCUCUUGGAACUGCAAAGCAGUCUGAGACUCUUCUCCCAGUUUAUUAUCUCCCUAUUAACUAUCUAUAGUGUAGCUCAUUGGAAAAGAGUCAUUAAUUUUGAUUAUC
rnacentral:lncRNA from 1 species